AGAGUUUGAUCCUGGCUCAGGAUGAACGCUAGCGGCAGGCCUAACACAUGCAAGUCGAACGGUAACAUAGAGAAGCUUGCUUCUUUGAUGACGAGUGGCGCACGGGUGCGUAACGCGUAUACAAUCUGCCUCUUACAGGGGGAUAGCCUUUGGAAACGAAGAAUAAUACCCCAUAGUAUGUAGAUAUCGCAUGGUAAUUACAUUAAAGAUUUAUCGGUAAGAGAUGAGUAUGCGUCCUAUUAGCUAGAUGGUGUGGUAACGGCACACCAUGGCAACGAUAGGUAGGGGCCCUGAGAGGGGGAUCCCCCACACUGGUACUGAGACACGGACCAGACUCCUACGGGAGGCAGCAGUGAGGAAUAUUGGACAAUGGGCGCGAGCCUGAUCCAGCCAUGCCGCGUGCAGGAAGACUGCCCUAUGGGUUGUAAACUGCUUUUAUACGGGAAGAAACCCACCUACGUGUAGGUGGCUGACGGUACCGUAAGAAUAAGCAUCGGCUAACUCCGUGCCAGCAGCCGCGGUAAUACGGAGGAUGCAAGCGUUAUCCGGAAUCAUUGGGUUUAAAGGGUCCGUAGGUGGACAAUUAAGUCAGAGGUGAAAUCCUGCAGCUCAACUGUAGAAUUGCCUUUGAUACUGGUUGUCUUGAAUUAUUGUGAAGUGGUUAGAAUAUGUAGUGUAGCGGUGAAAUGCAUAGAUAUUACAUAGAAUACCAAUUGCGAAGGCAGAUCACUAACAAUAUAUUGACACUGAUGGACGAAAGCGUGGGGAGCGAACGGGAUUAGAUACCCCGGUAGUCCACGCCGUAAACGAUGGUCACUAGCUGUUCGGAUUUCGGUCUGAGUGGCUAAGCGAAAGUGAUAAGUGACCCACCUGGGGAGUACGUUCGCAAGAAUGAAACUCAAAGGAAUUGACGGGGGCCCGCACAAGCGGU
rnacentral:rRNA from 1 species